rnacentral:lncRNA from 1 species
AACACCUGGACAGGAAGGUAGACAAUCACCACCUGUUUCAUAGUUGAGGCACCCAAGGCCCAGGGAGUUAAAUGAUUUGCUGACAGUCCCAGGAAUAGUUACAGUGCAGCCAAAGCAGGUCCUGAGGCUUAGGCUCCUGGUUCAAUGCUCCUCACUCCUGUACAGCUUGCCUCCUGCUCAGGCUAUUGGACUCCAAGUUAAUUAGGCAGCAAAGAACUCUGGGAGGAGCUGAAAAUGAGGGGAAGUGCCUGGAGAGGCUGGCAUAGGGUGAGCAAAGCAGAAUGGCAUGUUUUAAUUGAUUUUUGAUUGUGCCAACGACUGCAGGCUCCUAGGGCAAGCAACUGCUGCUUCUGAGUCAGCACCCUUGCGUGAGGCUCAGCCUUCCCAGAGUGCAGGCAUUGCUGGCUCUUUUUGUUCUCCCCCGAGCUCUUUGUGUGGGAAGUGGGUCUGUACAAAGCAGAAGGUUUCUUCUUUAAUUGGCCAAACAGCUGGGAGCCUGGAGUCCUGGGAAUACGGUCCAGGGUCACCUACAGCUCUCCCCAUCCUUCCACCCAGCUUAUCCUGGAAGCCCCAAGAGACGCAGCUCUGCUGAUGCAGCUAGACACAGCUCCGAAGACACCACAGGAAGCUUUGGAAGCACAAUAUACUUUGUGAAGAAAUUUGAAAACUUCAGUGCUACUUAGCAAGUUUCUUGGCAUUAGCAGUUAUCCAGGGACUCCCAGCGGGUAUCUACCCAGCUGGAGAAAGAAAUAUUCCAACAGGAAGGAAGAAACUCUCCAAUCUCACUGCAGGCCUGGAUAUUUGGAAAGAUCUCAUCACCAGACAGGGUGAAGGACACUGGACUUUGACUUUUGGACUCACAUAGCCAAUGGCUUGCUUGGCGUCUUCACAAAGAUAUCUAACAAGCAUCUCAACCCUAACAGAACUCUCGGUUCCUUCCCUCUCAUCCCCAACAUACGCCCCCACUAAUGUUCCCCAUUUCAAUAAAAUAAAUGGUUUUGGCUUAAGCCAAAAGCCUAGACUCCUCCUCGAUUCCUCUCUUUCUCACAUCUCCACAGCCAACCUAUCGGCAAGACCUUCUGGCUCAGCCAUCACAAGGUAUCUCGAAUCUGUCCACUUUCACUCCUUCUUCAUUGCUGCCAUGUGCUUCCAAGCCACCAGCAUCCAUUCAAACAACUCAGUUAGGUCUGUCCGUGGCCACCCUGGCUCUAUGACAACCCAUUUUCCCAUACAGCAUCCCGAGACCCUAGGCGACCUGGCUGCUGUCUACCUCUCCCACAAUGAGCUUCUCUUCCUUCAGGUAAGAACUGGAAUGUUACAUGACCCUGUUCAAUUUCAUCAGUGUACUUAGAAGAAUCAGCCAUUUUAAUACUCGUUCAUUUGUGUUUGUUGUCACGCCUCCCUCAUUUGAUGAGGGUGGACCAUGUCUUAUUCUCUGCUAAUUUGCCAGUUUGCAUGUAUGUUCAUUUCCCAGGACACAGUAACAAAGUACCACGAACUAGGUGGCGUAAGAUGAUAGAAGCUUAAGCCAG